CACCACAGGACUCAGAUCUCUGCACUGAGCUGCUUAAAUUAUAUUUUCCAAAGGUGGACAUUCGGGACAGAGACACAUAUGACGGAUGUUCCGACUCCCUCUACUGGUAUUGUUCCAGUGGCGAUUGUGGCUAUUCCUCCAGAGUUCAGAGAAAAACACUGGACAGCAGCACCAGUGCUCCGAUGUACAACGGACAAUGGUGUGAAGCUGAAACCGUUACCACGCGGGUUGUCUGGGACAACAAACCUUUUCAAAUGUGGGCAGAUAGCUGCUGCUGGAUCCCCACAGUUUACGAUCAUUGGGGCCACUCAUGGAGAUUGAGCACUCUUGUUGAUCUGGGAGAAAGAUCUGACACUAAACAACCAAACAGAUCACCAGAGAUUGCCAUCCUUCCUUUCCUAAGGGCAGCAGCCUUAGCAGAGUAGCCCAGACCUCCCUCUCCCCAGCUCAUCAGGCGAGGCCCCAAGAUGUUCCCAAGCCAGCUGAGAGAUGUAAUCUCUGCAGCCUGUCCUGGAUCUGCCCAGGACCUCCUCUCAGAGGGAUAUGCCCAAAAUACCCCACCAAGAGCAGAGUUAUUA